GACUUCAAUAUAUGAUUCACAUGUACAAGAACUUUAGGGGGAUCAGAUUUAUCGGUGUUAUGCUAAUCUAUUUGCUGUCAACUGCAUUCUCUGGCUUAUUCUUUUAUCAAGUUCUUUAUUCCUCGUUAUUACUUCACUUUCCAAGAUGUUGCUGGAUCUUUGUUCAACUGGUUCUUAAUCAUCAACACUGCUGGUUCCAAGAUGCUGGUUAUAAUUCCUUCACUGGUGGUCCUCUAUUUACUUG
rnacentral:lncRNA from 1 species